rnacentral:rRNA from 1 species
GACGAACGCUGGCGGCGUGCUUAACACAUGCAAGUCGAACGGGUCUGCCCUGUUUUUUGCGGGGUGGGUCAGUGGCGAACGGGUGAGUAACACGUGAGUAACCUGCCCCUCACUUCUGGAUAACCGCUUGAAAGGGUGGCUAAUACGGGGUGUUCUGGCUGUGCCGCAUGGUGUGGCUGGGAAAGAUUCACUUUUGUGGUGUUUUGGUGGGGGAUGGGCUCGCGGCCUAUCAGCUUGUUGGUGGGGUGAUGGCCUGCCAAGGCUUUGACGGGUAGCCGGCCUGAGAGGGUGGGCGGUCACACUGGGACUGAGCUACGGCCCGGACUCCUGCGGGAGGCAGCAGUGGGGGGUAUUGCACAAUGGGCGGAAGCCUGAUGCAGCGACGUCGCGUGAGGGAUGGAGGCCUUCGGGUUGUGAACCUCUUUCGCCGGUGAAGAAGGUCCUGCUCUUUGUGGUGGGGUUGACGGUAGCCGGGUUAUGAAGCGCCGGCUAACUACGUG